rnacentral:lncRNA from 1 species
GAUUCAUGACAAAAUUGUGUUUUGGUGAGGGCGAUGUGUUUGUAGAUCUUACUUUACUGAACAUUCUUGCUGCUUACAAUUAUCUCUAUCUAUAAUGAUUGGCCCAGUAGUUUCAGUGGAAAAUGUUAGUAAAAUUUACAAAGUUUAUGAAAAUUGUUAAAAAUUGACUAUGAAGGACAAUAACUCCUUAGGGGGUCAAUUGACCAUUUCAAUCAUGUUCACUUAUUUGUAAAUCUUACUUUGCUGAACAUUAUUGCUGUUUACAGUUUAUCCCUAUCUAUAAUAAUAUUCAAGAUAAUAACCAAAAACAGC